UGUUUAGCUAGCUGUCUAGAUUUACUUUGCACAGAUCUGAGGAGAGUUAACCAUAGUCCUCAUAAAUCCACCAGAGUUUGGAAUGCCAAGACAAAGAAAG